GAUGAACGCUAGCGGCAGGCCUAAUACAUGCAAGUCGAGCGGCAGCGGGAAAGUAGCUUGCUACUUUUGCCGGCGAGCGGCGGACGGGUGAGUAAUGCCUGGGAAAUUGCCCAGUCGAGGGGGAUAACAGUUGGAAACGACUGCUAAUACCGCAUACGCCCUACGGGGGAAAGCAGGGGACCUUCGGGCCUUGCGCGAUUGGAAAUGCCCAGGUGGGAUUAGCUAGUUGGUGAGGUAAUGGCUCACCAAGGCGACGAUCCCUAGCUGGUCUGAGAGGAUGAUCAGCCACACUGGAACUGAGACACGGUCCAGACUCCUACGGGAGGCAGCAGUGGGGAAUAUUGCACAAUGGGGGAAACCCUGAUGCAGCCAUGCCGCGUGUGUGAAGAAGGCCUUCGGGUUGUAAAGCACUUUCAGCGAGGAGGAAAGGUUGAUGCCUAAUACGUAUCAACUGUGACGUUACUCGCAGAAGAAGCACCGGCUAACUCCGUGCCAGCAGCCGCAGUAAUAC
rnacentral:rRNA from 1 species